UUCCCUUUGUCAUCCUGUGCCU
rnacentral:miRNA from 1 species